AUGGUACUGCAGGCGCCCUAUGGGAAAAGGUGCACUUUGCAAAGUCUGGAAUCAAACAACCAGCAAGUCGAGGUGGUGCAAGUCGAUGAUGCUGGCGUUGAAGAUUUGUAUGCUAUCCUGAAAAACUCAAAAGGAGGUCUUUUGAAAAAUCCAACUAUAACAUCUGCCAUUCUUUUUGCUCAGUGCCCGAAGGGGAUGUUUACCAAAAGUGGGGUCAACAGGAAUAUGAAGGGAAAUACAUAUUUUCCCCAAAGGCCUCUCAUGUGGAAUCCCUCCUUGGCUUCUGAAAGCUCAGCAUUACUCAGUACUCUGAACACCAUUUUUACUUCACGUCUCGUGUUAACAAGAUCUCACCCCAACCCACAAGUCACUGUGGCUUGCCCUUGGGAAGCCUGGCUAGGGACACACUCAGCCCGAAGAAACCUGUGA
rnacentral:lncRNA from 1 species